AUUGAACGCUGGCGGCAUGCCUUACACAUGCAAGUCGAACGGCAGCGGGGGAGAAGCUUGCUUUUCCUGCCGGCGAGUGGCGAACGGGUGCGUAAUACAUCGGAACGUGCCCUGUAGUGGGGGAUAACUAGUCGAAAGAUUAGCUAAUACCGCAUACGACCUGAGGGUGAAAGUGGGGGACCGCAAGGCCGCAUGCUAUAGGAGCGGCCGAUGUCUGAUUAGCUGGUUGGUGGGGUAAAGCCCUACCAAGGCGACGAUCAGUAGCUGGUCUGAGAGGACGAUCAGCCACACUGGGACUGAGACACGGCACAGACUCCUACGGGAGGCAGCAGUGGGGAAUUUUGGACAAUGGGCGAAAGCCUGAUCCAGCAAUGCCGCGUGUGUGAAGAAGGCCUUCGGGUUGUAAAGCACUUUUGUCCGGAAAGAAAUGGCUCUGGUUAAUACCUGGGGUCGAUGACGGUACCGGAAGAAUAAGGACCGGCUAACUACGUGCCAGCCGCCGCCGUAA
rnacentral:rRNA from 1 species